CUGCUGGCGGAAGGUUCGCCUUCGCAAAAUCUGUCGGCUAAAGAUUAUUUUGAUUUUGUAAAUCUGCUAAAAUAAAUAAUGAAUAAUAAGAAUUAAUUUCCUUGAAGAAAAUAAAUUUCAUAAUUCCUCCCCCUUCUAAAUAGACUGCCUGGAAUUGUACAAACUGAGAAUUUUAGCGGAACGUCCUGGUUUGUCAAAGCAGUCUGUAAUAAUCUGAAAAAAUUACGCGACGGACUUUGUUGGUUCCAAGAUUUUGUAUCUUCUCGAAGAAAAAAUCUAGAGCAUGAACGGAAAAGCUCCACCAAACCGAAGAGGUCGUGGUCGCGGUCGUGGCGGCGGCGGUAGUCGCGAUCGUAGUUCCAGCGCACCUUAUCCAUCCUCGUCCUCCGAUAAGGGCUCCUCAUCCACCACCCUCUGCCUUGAAGGGAUCCCUUCUUCCAUCUCGAAACGGGACAUCAUCUCCGCUCUCGGAAAUUUCGCCCUGGAAGUUUCCACCGUUUCCUUUCAGCCGGUCAGAAAUCAGGUGCGGAUCGAGUUUAAGGGGAGGCGCGGGGCGGAGGGGGCCUUCCAGAAAAAUUUGGGCAGUCUGACCGUCGCCGGGACGAAGUAUUCGCUCAGUUGGGAGACUGCAGACCAGACGAUGCAAAUUAUCCUGCCGCCCCCAUCCCCCCCGCCGAACGGGGUCCCACAAAUGGACAGUUUUGCGAGGAAUCAACCCCGCGGGCUGGGAAGGGGCACGUACGACCCGCAAUUUAGACAAGUCGGACAUUUCAUGGAUACCAGCCAGCUCGUCGUGGGGCCCGAAGAGAGGGGGAAGAUUAAAGGGAAAGUUAACCAUGUUGUGUGAUGAAAGAGAAGAGGUUUUAACUGGGUAAAAGUAAUAUUUAUGUAAAGCAUAAAGUGGAAGAUUCGUGGUAAAUGUUACACUGAUUGAUAAGCAGUAUGUAGCAACAUAAUUUUUUGGAGAUGGAAGAUUAAAAUUAGGU